UAGGACGAGAAGACCCUAUAGAAUUUUAUAUAAAUAUUAUAAUGGUUAGAUUAAUUUAUAAGAUUUUAUAUUUAGUUGGGAGGAUUAUUAAAUUUUAUAAACUUUAAUAUAAUAAUAACUUAAAUUAAAGAAUGUUAAGUAAAGAUUGACUUUAAAGUUAAAGUAGAUUAAAUUACCUUAGGGAUAACAGCGUAAUAUUUUUAGAGAGAUCUUAUUAAUAAAAGUUAUUGCGACCUCGAUGUUGGAUUAAGAGCGAUCAUCUACCUCGAUGUUGGAUUAA
rnacentral:rRNA from 1 species